rnacentral:rRNA from 1 species
GACGAACGCUGGCGGCGUGCUUAACACAUGCAAGUCGAACGGAAAGGCCCUGCUUUUGUGGGGUGCUCGAGUGGCGAACGGGUGAGUAACACGUGAGUAUCCUGCCCUUGACUUUGGGAUAACUUCAGGAAACUGGGGCUCAUACCGGAUAGGAGCUCCUGCUGCAUGGUGGGGGUUGGAAAGUUUCGGCGGUUUGGGAUGGACUCGCGGCUUAUCCGCUUGUUGGUGGGGUAGUGGCUUACCAAGGCUUUGACGGGUAGCCGGCCUGAGAGGGUGACCGGCCACAUUGGUACUGAGAGACGGCCCAGAAGCCUACGGGAGGCAGCAGGGGGGAAUAUUGCACAAUGGGCGGAAGCCUGAUGCAGCAACGCCGCGUGCGGGAUGACGGCCUUCGGGUUGUAAACCGCUUUCGCCUGUGACGAAGCGUGAGUGACGGUAAUGGGUAAAGAAGCACCGGCUAACUACGUG